UAGGGAAUCUUCGGCAAUGGACGAAAGUCUGACCGAGCAACGCCGCGUGAGUGAAGAAGGUUUUCGGAUCGUAAAACUCUGUUGUUAGAGAAGAACAAGGACGUUAGUAACUGAACGUCCCCUGACGGUAUCUAACCAGAAAGCCACGGCUAACUACGUGCCAGCAGCCGCGGUAAUACGUAGGUGGCAAGCGUUGUCCGGAUUUAUUGGGCGUAAAGCGAGCGCAGGCGGGUUCUUAAGUCUGAUGUGAAAGCCCCCGGCUCAACCGGGGAGGGUCAUUGGAAACUGGGAGACUUGAGGGCAGAAGAGGAGAGUGGAAUUCCAUGUGUAGCGGUGAAAUGCGUAGAUAUAUGGGGGAACACCAGUGGCGAAGGCGGCUCUCUGGUCUGUAACUGACGCUGAGGAUCGAAAGCGUGGGGAGCAAACAGG
rnacentral:rRNA from 1 species